CAGGAGAGGGCUGGACCGGCACGUCUGCGUCUGCGUUCCAUCGGUGGCUUCAUCCCGCAUCUGGAAGCUUCUGGAAAACCCCAGUGAGGCAGGUUGAUAACGUGUAUUAUGUGAAGGCAAAACUAAUCUUUGGUAAGAAAAAUCAGAACAGUAGUUGCCCCUGGCAUGGGAACAGAGACUGGCUGGGAAGAGACCUUCGGGAAGUUUUGGAGGAUGCUGAAGUAAAUACUGAACUGCAAUUAAUGACGGCACACUGGGGUCUCAGAGCAGCUGUGCUGAUGUCUGCGACUUCAGUGGAUCAAUGGAAUAAGCAGCUUCCUCUCCUGGCUAUGAUAGAAGCGCUUAUAUCAGACCGACUAAAUCACUGAGAACAAGUGGGAAAGAUGGAAAAAAUACACAAAGCAGCUGUUGAAAGCACAGGAGAGAACCCAGGACAUGAGGUGUCUGGAGGCUGGUGAGAGGGGAACUUCAGCCAAGUGGCCACAUAUGCCUCUGCUUUUCCCCAUGGCACCUGCCCUUUUCUUAGUGGCAGAGAGAAUAAGAUAUCAAGGGACAGGCAGGAAGCAGCUGCUGGAAAUAUUAGCAGGUAGUAAUCAAAGUACAGCUAGGUGUUUCUGCACUUCCAUGGGGCUGGAGAGACCAAGACUGGAAGUUACCAAAGCAGCCAGAGCUCGCAGGGCACACAUUCUAGAGAAAAGGGCACCUUGGAGAAGCAAGCCUGAUAUUCUGUAAUUUUUCCCCUUGAAAUAUCUGCCAAUUAUUAAACUGCUUGGAGCAAGAAGGCAAGAAACCAAGCAGAAAGCAUCAAAUAGGAGCCUUAAAAGCGAAGCAGAGCUUCGGGUAGUUUUGCCUUAUCGAUAGAUGAAAGUUUGGUUUCAGAAGCUAUCAAGAAGGAAUGGGGUAAGACAGCAAGGUUUUCUAUUGAGCUGCGUAAAGGCUAAAUCCUAGGAGACAGUGAGGCCAGGAAGACAGACUCCUGGUGAGGAAUAAAAUCUGCCUCCUGUCAUGUCAACUCCUGACUGGAUCUGUGUUACCCACCCCCAUCCCGACUGCUGACAGAGGACAAAUCAGUUACCUCGCAGGAAGAUAACAUUGUUCACACCUGUUUUAUACUUGAUAUCCGGCAUUCAGUCAGACAUUACCAAGGAAUCCAUACAAAUAUGUAAAGGUGUAAUCAUUUAUAGUGUAUGAAAUAUAUUAGAAGUUUAUCUUUAAGGUAUCAAAUCCAAAGCAAGCACAAGGAAGGACAUAAUAAAAGAAAAUAAGAGCAGAGGUCCGUGAGAUGAGAAA